rnacentral:rRNA from 1 species
CAGCAGCCGCGGUAAGACGUAGGGGGCAAGCGUUGUUCGGAAUUAUUGGGCGUAAAGGGUGCGUAGGUGGAUUCGUAAGUCGAGGUUGAAAUAUCCGGGCUUAACUCGGGGACCGGCCUCGAUACUGCGGAUCUCGAGUCAAGAAGAGGGUAUUGGAACUCCGAGUGUAGCGGUGAAAUGCGUAGAUAUUCGGAAGAACACCAGUGGCGAAGGCGGAUACCUGGUCUUGCACUGACGCUGAGGCACGAAAGCUGGGGAAGCAAACGGGAUUAGAUACCCCGGUAGUCCCAGCCGUAAACGAUGAAUGCUAGGUGUGAGGGGUAUCGACCCCCUUCGUGCCGCAGUUAACACAAUAAGCAUUCCGCCUGGGGAGUACGGCCGCAAGGUUAAAACUCAAAGGAAUUGACGG